rnacentral:rRNA from 1 species
CCUACGGGAGGCAGCAGUAGGGAAUAUUGGUCAAUGGGCGAAAGCCUGAACCAGCAACGCCGCGUGCGCGAUGAAGGCCUUCGGGUCGUAAAGCGCUUUUGGGAGGGAUGAAAAUGACAGUACCUCCCGAAUAAGGAUCGGCUAACUACGUGCCAGCAGCCGCGGUAAGACGUAGGAUCCAAGCGUUAUCCGGAAUUACUGGGCGUAAAGGGCGUGUAGGAGGUUGGGCAAGUCGGCCAUGAAAGCUCCCGGCUCAACUGGGAGAGGCUGGUCGAUACUGCCUGGCUAGAGGGCAAGAGAGGGAGGUGGAAUUCCCGGUGUAGUGGUGAAAUGCGUAGAUAUCGGGAGGAACACCAGUGGCGAAGGCGGCCUCCUGGCUUGUACCUGACUCUGAAACGCGAAAGCAUGGGUAGCAAACAGGAUUAGAAACCCUGGUAGUCCAUGCCAUAAACGAUGUCAACUGGGUGUCGGCGAAGUAAAAUUUGUCGGUGCCGAAGCUAACGCGUUAAGUUGACCGCCUGAGGACUACGAUCGCAGAUAAACUCAAAGGAAUUGACGG